UACGUAGGUGGCGAGCGUUGUCCGGAUUUACUGGGCGUAAAGAGCGCGCAGGCGGCUGGUCAAGUCCGAUGUGAAAGCUCCCGGCUUAACUGGGAAAUUGCAUCGGAAACUGAUCGGCUGGAAGGUGGGAGAGGGUAGCGGAAUUCCCGGUGUAGUGGUGAAAUGCGUAGAGAUCCCGAGGAAUACCAGUGGUGAAGACGGCGCCCUGGGCCGAACCUGACGCUGAGAUGCGAAAGCGUGGGGAGCGAACGGG
rnacentral:rRNA from 1 species